rnacentral:misc_RNA from 1 species
UCUCCGUUGGUGAACCAGCGGAGGGAUCAUUACAGAGUUAUCCAACUCCCAACCCAUGUGAACUUAUCUCUUGUUGCCUCGGCGCAAGCGACCCGGGCCCAGCCCGGGGCGCCCGCCGGCGGACACACCAAACUCUGUUAUCUUCGUUGAUUAUCUGAGUGUCUUAUUUAAUAAGUCAAAACUUUCAACAACGGAUCUCUUGGUUCUGGCAUCGAUGAAGAACGCAGC